rnacentral:rRNA from 1 species
CCUACGGGAGGCAGCAGUGAGGAAUAUUGGUCAAUGGCCGCAGGGCUGAACCAGCCAAGUCGCGUGAGGGAUGACGGUCCUAUGGAUUGUAAACCUCUUUUGUCAGGGAGCAAAGGGCGCCACGUGUGGCGCUUUGCGAGUACCUGAAGAAAAAGCAUCGGCUAACUCCGUGCCAGCAGCCGCGGUAAUACGGAGGAUGCGAGCGUUAUCCGGAUUUAUUGGGUUUAAAGGGUGCGUAGGCGGAAUGUUAAGUCAGCGGUAAAAUUUCGGGGCUCAACCCCGUCGUGCCGUUGAAACUGGCGUUCUUGAGUGAGCGAGAAGUAUGCGGAAUGCGUGGUGUAGCGGUGAAAUGCAUAGAUAUCACGCAGAACUCCGAUUGCGAAGGCAGCAUACCGGCGCUCAACUGACGCUCAUGCACGAAAGCGUGGGUAUCGAACAGGAUUAGAUACCCCAGUAGUC